AUUGAACGCUGGCGGCAUGCUUUACGCAUGCCAGUCGAACGGCAGCGGGGAGGAGCUUGCUUCUCUGCCGGCGAGUGGCGAACGGGUGAGUAAUACAUCGGAACGUGUCGAGAAGAGGGGGAUAACCACCCGAAAGGGUGGCUAAUACCGCAUAAAUUCUGAGGAAGAAAGCUGGGGACCUAGGAAUAGGCCUAGCGCUUUUUGAGCGGCCGAUGUCGGAUUAGCUAGUUGGUGAGGUAAAGGCUCACCAAGGCGAAGAUCUGUAGCGGGUCUGAGAGGAUGAUCCGCCACACUGGGACUGAGACACGGCCCAGACUCCUACGGGAGGCAGCAGUGGGGAAUUUUGGACAAUGGGGGCAACCCUGAUCCAGCCAUGCCGCGUGUAUGAAGAAGGCCUUAGGGUUGUAAAGUACUUUUGUUAGGGAAGAAAAGUCAGCUGUGAAUAAUGGCUGAUACUGACGGUACCUAAAGAAUAAGCACCGGCUAACUACGUG
rnacentral:rRNA from 1 species